rnacentral:rRNA from 1 species
AACGAACGCUGGCGGCGUGGCUAAGACAUGCAAGUCGAACGGACUGUUCAAUUUAUUGUUCAGUUAGUGGCGUAAGGGUUAGUAACGGGUAGGUAACGUACCCUGUGCUUUGGGAUAGCGUCAGUAACUUCGGUUACUUUCCGAAAGGGGCGGUAAUACCAAAAAUAUCAUUUGUCGAUAGGCGAAUGAUCAAAGAUUUAUCGGCGCAGGAGCGGCCUGCCUCCUAUCAGCUUGUUGGUGAGGUAAUGGCUCACCAAGGCAUCGACGGGUAGCGGGACUGAGAGGUUGGCCCGCAACAUCGGGACUGAGACACUGCCCGGACCUCCACGGAGGGCUGCAGUAACGGAUAUUGUGCAAUGGGCGAAAGCCUGACACAGCGACGCCGCGUGUAGGAGGAAGUCCUUCGGGAUGUAAACUACUGUCAGGGGGAAGAAAGUGCGCUUCGGCGCAUUGAUCUAACCCAAAGGAAGUCACGGCUAACUUCGUGCCAGCAGCCGCGGUAAGACGAAGGUGGCAAGCGUUGUUCGGUAUUACUGGGCUUAAAGCGUGUGUAGGCGGAAAAUUAAGCGUUGUGUGAAAUCCCCCGGCUUAACCGGGGAACUGCAUAACGAACUGAUUUUCUUGAGGCAAGUAGGGGUGCAUGGAACUCUUGGUGGAGCGGUGGAAUGCGUAGAUAUCAAGAGGAACGCCAGUGGAGAAAUCGGUGCACUGGGCUUGUCCUGACGCUGAGACACGAAAGCGUGGGUAGCGAACGGGAUUAGAUACCCCGGUAGUCCACGCCGUAAACGAUGCCUACUAGGUUGUGCGAGUUCUGACACUGGCACAGCCGAAGCAAAAGUGUUAAGUAGGCCGCCUGGGGAGACGGUCGCAAGGCU